UCCGGCGCCAACCGCACCGGAACGCGGGCAGUGUGGACGCCCACCUCGGGCUCGGUUUACCCGCCGGUGGAGAGGGCCGAGGUCUUGCGCCAGCGGACCUAGAAGCGGCGUCUCUUCAGCACGCGCAGUCCAGCGUCUACUCUGUGCCAGGGACCCGUGUGGAGGGUGCCUGGUCGGGGCCGGGGAGCCAGCGCUUCCUGGGCACUUUAAACAGUGCUCCCUGGCUGGGACCGGUUUACCCCGGGCCGGCUUCUGGGCCCUGCCGCGCGAGGACCGAGCGUACCCCUACGGUGCGCGGCGCGCCGGGGGACGAGAGACGUCGAGCCUGACUCACCCCUGGGGACUCCUGCUCUCCUGAGGGAGAGGACAGGAAACUGCUGAGAGUCACUAAGAUUUGGAUCCUCAGUCUGUGUGUGGGAAGUGCACUCAGAUACCAUGCAGAGGCAGGAGUCCAGAGAGGAUGUGGCUGCAAUAGUCCAGGUAGGAGGAGAUGGAGGGUCAGACCAGGGUGACCUCGGAAGUGGGAGAAGUGGUGGAUUCUGGAUGCAUUUUGAAGGUGGAGUGUCUAAGACUUGCUGGUUGAUGGAAUGUGGGGUGAAGGAAAGAGAAAUCGAGGACAACUCCCAGGUUUCUGGCCUGAACCACUGGAAGAAUGGAGAUGCCAUAGACUGAGCUGGGGAAGAACAAGGUGGGAGGAGGCUUAGGGAGGGGCAGACCAGGGGUUCUGUUUUGGGCAUGCUUCGUGUGAGGCGCAUGUUGGAUGUCUCAAGUAGAGAUGUUGAGUGGCAUAAAGCAGUUUUUCUGCCCUAGAGAAUGAUGCAUAAUUUUGGUCAUUGAGGUAGAACAAAGUCAGAAAGGAGGGAAGAUGUGGAAUCACACACCUAAAAUUGGGGAAGGCCAAGGGCAGUGAAGGACAGUGGAAGGAUCCUGGCCUUUGAAGCUUGGAGUCUCACGGCUGUGUUUCUGAGCCUGUGUGGGUCCAUUUUCCUUCUAUGCAAUGGAAAGAAUAACAUUUCAUAGGCUUGUUGUAAGGUUCACAGUGAGCACCGUGAAAGGCAGGAACCCCUGCAGAAAUAUCUGUUAAUGCUUGACCCUGAAGUGAUGGGGUGAGAGCCACACCCUCACCUGACAGUCAAGGCCCUGCUGACUCUUCAGCCUUGUCUUCUGUCACCGCCCACUGUCAUCCUGCUGCCAGGCCUUUGCCCUCACUGUACCUGCUUUCUGGUUCACAUGCUCCCCAGAGAGGAAGUGGCUGUCCCCUUCUUCAGAUCUCUGUUCUCCAGCUCCUCCUAGUUGUGAGACUCAGGCUGCCAAGCUGCCCCUCAAGGUGUCACAGUGUUGGGGGAUGGAGCCCCCCCAUGACUUGCCUCAAGUCACAUUGAUCUGGAUUGCCCCAUUAAUUUAUUCACCAAAUCUUUACUGAGACCUGCCGUGGGCCGGAUGCCAUGUAAAAUGCUGGCCAUAUAGCAGUGGUUCCUGCCCUCCCAGUUGCAAGUAAAAAGACAAUCUAGGGACAGGAGAUGUGGGGAAAAGAGAUGGGUGCAGGAUGAUAAGGGAGUGCUUUGUUAGAUGGAGGAAAACGGAGGGAGUGUACGGCCCGGGGUUGAGAGCAGUAAUGUGUGGUCCGCAAUGGUGAUCAGCAUCUACUGAGCACUUCCUGCAUGCCGGGUCAUGUGAUAACUUCAUCGAAUCUUCACACCAUCCCCCAAACAGUUACUUAUAACAGUGCCAAUGCAUUUCUCCUUACAACUCUGUGGAUUGGCUGGUGGUUCCGCUCUUUGUUUCACCUGUCUUACUCUUGCAGCUUCAUUCAGCUUCCUGCUGUGCUGCAAGGUCCACAGUGGCCUCAUUCUUACAUCCAGCAGUGGGUACUUGUUGUUGGCUGGGGCGUCUCAGUUCUGAUUGUGGCCUCUCAUCUUCCAGGAGGCUAUCUGGCUUUUUCACAUGGUGUCAUCAGGGCACCAUCCAAGAGUCCUCGGGUCAGAUGUCUUAUCAGUUACUCCAUUGCGUCUUAUUCAUCCAAACAAGUGAAAAACCAGCUUGGAGACUCCUUGUUCCUCACUGGCUCUCUUGCACCACACACCCAUUCCUGGACAAGUCACUAGCGGGAAGAUAAGUUGCCCCUUGGACUCAUCAGGCUUUCCAAGGAUCUGGGGAUGGGGUCACUUUUCUGAGGCAACUGGGCUGCCUAGGGGAGGGGUGGACAUUUGAACAAAACUGGGGCCUGGUGGGUCCAUAACUAAUCAUUGUUAAUGUUGGGUGAAACUUCUUUCUCGGCACUUCACAGAUGCAAAUAAAUGCAAAGAGAACUCGUACUGGGAGAUCCUUGGGACUGUGACCUGAAUGAGGUCCAGAUCUUGGGCACAGUCAUGGAUCUUUUUCCUGGGAGUAGGCGGGAAUAAUAGAUUAAAACCAUGUUUCAAAAACUAGAAUAAAGCAUAGAGGAUUUUUAAAAACUCUUUUAAGGAGUUCCCGUCAUGGUUCAGCAGUUAAUGAACCCGACUAGGAUCCACGAGGAUGCGGGUUCCAUCCCUGGCCUCACUCAGUGGGUUAAGGAUCUGGCAUUGCUGUGAGCUGUAGUCUAGGUUGCAGACUUGGCUCAGAUCCCUCAUUGCUGUGUUUGUGGUGUAGGCCAGCAGGCUGUAGCUCCGGUUAGACCCCCUAGCCUGGGGACCUCCAUAUGCUGUG
rnacentral:lncRNA from 1 species